rnacentral:lncRNA from 1 species
UUGACUUAGAAAAUUUUUCUAAGUAAUAGAAUAUGAAUGAGCCGGGACGAGAUUGCUUGACAUGACUCCGGACGGGAUUGCUUGCUUUACAAAUAUUUGCCUUAGUAAAUUUUUCUAAGUAAUAGAGUAUGAAUGAGGCCGGACGAGAUUGCUGGGAAUGAGUCUCGACGAGAUUGCUCGGCAUGAGUCCGGACGGGAUUGCUCGACAUGUGUCCGGACGGGAU